rnacentral:rRNA from 1 species
CAACCUGCCGAUAACUCCGGGAUAGCCUUUCGAAAGAAAGAUUAAUACCGGAUAGCAUACGAAUAUCGCAUGAUAUUUUUAUUAAAGAAUUUCGGUUAUCGAUGGGGAUGCGUUCCAUUAGUUUGUUGGCGGGGUAACGGCCCACCAAGACUACGAUGGAUAGGGGUUCUGAGAGGAAGGUCCCCCACAUUGGAACUGAGACACGGUCCAAACUCCUACGGGAGGCAGCAGUGAGGAAUAUUGGUCAAUGGGCGAGAGCCUGAACCAGCCAAGUAGCGUGAAGGAUGAAGGCUCUAUGGGUCGUAAACUUCUUUUAUAUGGGAAUAAAGUUUUCCACGUGUGGAAUUUUGUAUGUACCAUAUGAAUAAGGAUCGGCUAACUCCGUGCCAGCAGCCGCGGUAAUACGGAGGAUCCGAGCGUUAUCCGGAUUUAUUGGGUUUAAAGGGAGCGUAGGUGGAUUGUUAAGUCAGUUGUGAAAGUUUGCGGCUCAACCGUAAAAUUGCAGUUGAAACUGGCAGUCUUGAGUACAGUAGAGGUGGGCGGAAUUCGUGGUGUAGCGGUGAAAUGCUUAGAUAUCACGAAGAACUCCGAUUG